rnacentral:rRNA from 1 species
CAGGCCUAACACAUGCAAGUCGAGCGCCCCGCAAGGGGAGCGGCAGACGGGUGAGUAACGCGUGGGGAUAUACCUAGCUGUACGGAAUAACGCAGGGGAACUUGGAGUAAUACUGUAUACGCCAUUGGGGGGAAAGAUUUAUGGGAGUUGGAUGAGCCCGCGUUGGAUUAGCUAGUUGGUGGGGUAAUGGCGUACCAAGGCGACGAUCCAUAGAUGGUCUGAGAGGAUGAUCAGCCACACUGGGACUGAGACACGGCCCAGAGUCUUACGGGAGGCAGCAGUGGGGAAUAUUGGACAAUGGGCGGAAGCCUGAUCCAGCCAUGCCGCGUGAGUGAUGAAGGCCAUAGGGUUGUAAAGCUAUUUCACCGGUGAAGAUAAUGACGGUAACCGGAGAAGAAGCCCCGGAUAACUUUGUGCCAGCAGCCGCGGUAAU